rnacentral:rRNA from 1 species
GAUGAACGCUGGCGGCGUGCUUAACACAUGCAAGUCGAACGAAGCACUUAAGAUUGAUUCUUCGGAUGAAGUCUUUUGUGACUGAGUGGCGGACGGGUGAGUAACGCGUGGGUAACCUGCCUCAUACAGGGGGAUAACAGUUAGAAAUGGCUGCUAAUACCGCAUAAGCACACAGGACCGCAUGGUCCGGUGUGAAAAACUCCGGUGGUAUGAGAUGGACCCGCGUCUGAUUAGCUAGUUGGUAAGGUAACGGCUUACCAAGGCGACGAUCAGUAGCCGACCUGAGAGGGUGACCGGCCACAUUGGGACUGAGACACGGCCCAA